UAAAAAUAAAUUCUUUUAUUUGGAAAUUUGGCUAAAUUUUAAAAGAUCCUGUAACCUGUAUCCUCUAAGCGUACUAGUCAUAUCCAAGAUUAUGUGCAGCACGCAAGGCGACAGACCGUCAGCGCAGAUUCCAGGAUUGCAGGAUGCUCACAGAAAAUGAAAGGUUGCGGAUGUUCCAGAAACGCUUGCACACCUCCUGUGUAGCCUUGGCAGGGAUGAGGCUUAGGUACAUAGGAGUCCAUCUGCUGAAAACGCUUCAGGAUGCAGCCAAGCGAACAAUUUAUCAACUCUUGAUGUCCUCUCAGACAUAAGCCUCCGUUCCCGCACCCCACGGACGAAAAUCUGUCUGUGGUACUCCUAGUGGAUGGCCUGCUUAAACUAACCUAACCUAUAUCUAGAAAAUCUAACCAUUAUAUUUAACAAUUGCAAAGUAAUAACUUCUUUACAUCAAAAUUAA